rnacentral:rRNA from 1 species
GACAGAGGUGCCGAGCGUUAGGCGGAAUCACUGGGCUUAAAGCGUGUGUAGGCGGGUCGUUAAGUGUCUUGUGAAAUCCCCCGGCUCAACCGGGGAAUGGCUGGGCAUACUGGCGAUCUUGAGCAGUCUAGGGGCAGAUGGAACAAGUGGUGGAGCGGUGAAAUGCGUAGAUAUCACUUGGAACGCCAACGGUGAAGACAGUCUGCUGGGGACUUGCUGACGCUGAGGAGCGAAAGCAUGGGGAGCGAACAGG